ACUACUGCUACAUAACGCUAUGCAACAAUAAAAUACCUCGAGGUUUUAUAAGGAAAUAAAUGAACUAAGGAAGGGAACAGGUUUAAAAUUUAUUUUACUGACCUGUUCAGUUAUAACUUUGAUAAAACACUAUACCCUAUAUUUUGAAACUCAUCGUCAUGCUGCGUCUUUUCGAAUAGUAACUCCAUUGUAACUCAGUUCAUUGUGUUCAGAUCCCAUACCGAGCGUUUCUAUGAGACAGAAAAUUGAUAAAAUGGAUCAUCCAACAGCUACAGUGUAACGCCCAGUCGAUGGUGAAACAUCAAUCGAUUCCAAGCCCUUGGGUACAUAAACAGUGAUACCACUUCUGCUCUUUGUUGUCAUGGUAACUAACACAUUUGUGCGUAUCUUCUGCUUACCGACUUUAUACAUAAGUACAUGAGCAGAGAAUAAAUAUUUUGGAUACUUA